GGCUCUAUCGACCAGUUUUGAAGCCUAUAUAUCCUAUUAGAUCUAGAGAGUAGAUAUUAAUACAAAGAGCUCUUUCAAAUAAGAAAAAUAGACACAAAGAAAUCGACUAGUUUGUUCCUCAUAUUCCAACUCUUUACAAUGCAUUAAUCAACUCAAAGUAGUUGUCUAAUUACCUAAUAUAGGUCUUUCAACAUUUAUCACAAAUAACAAUCCAUAAUCGGUCUAGAGCUUGGUAAAUACAAAUCAUAAAAAACCUUAAGAACCAGAGCAUGGUGAAGAACCAUAUGUUUUUCCAGUCUCGAACCUGUCCUCGAACUUCCCUUUGGCCUCCUUGGAAAAGUCAAACUUCUUCCCCUUACUUCGUAACACGUUGAUGUUCGAUGUCUAUAGUUGAAAGGAUGAGAGGAGAAGCAUUACCCCUCUGCAACGACCUUCUUCUCCUUGCUCUGCCACACACCAGUAUCUUUACUUGAAGAGGAUGGGAGUAGAAGCGACGACCUCCUUGAUUUCGUCUAUUGAUGAAAACGAUCAGAUGAGGGAAUUGAUUAAGGCAAAGAGGAAAGAGUUGAGGGAGAUAGGAUAAACUGAGGUUUUUAUGUGAUGGAGAGUGAGAGAAGAUCCAUCUGUGAUGGUAAAUAUUCGAAUGUGGAAAGAGGAAAAUUAGUGAAAAGGAU
rnacentral:lncRNA from 1 species